rnacentral:rRNA from 1 species
CCUACGGGGGGCUGCAGUGGGGAAUAUUGGACAAUGGGGGGAACCCUGAUCCAGCGACGCCGCGUGAGUGAAGAAGUAUUUCGGUAUGUAAAGCUCUAUCAGCAGGGAAGAAAGAAAUGACGGUACCUGACUAAGAAGCCCCGGGUAACUACGUGCCAGCAGCCGCGGUAAUCCGUAGGGGGCAAGCGUUAUCCGGAUUUACUGGGUGUAAAGGGAGCGUAGACGGCGAUGCAAGUCUGACGUGAAAGGCGGGGGGCCAACCCCCGGACUGCUUUGGAAACUGUAUGGCUGGAGUGCAGGAGAGGUAAGUGGAAUUCCUGGUGUAGCGGUGAAAUGCGUAGAUAUUAGGAGGAACACCAGUGGCGAAGGCGGCUUACUGGACUGUAACUGACGUUGAGGCUCGAAAGCGUGGGGAGCAAACAGGAUUAGAUACCCCAGUAGUC